ACAGAAAAAAAUGGCAAAACUUAUUAAUUAAUGGAAAACACGUUAAGCUGGAAGUAAAUGCAUGAGCUGCUUUACAGAAAUGCAUAAUGUGAGUGAUGAAAGGAACAAAUAUUCUUCCAAUUUUCCAGAUUUGACACUCAUUUAAAUGAAAGAGGCUAUUCCCAAAUGGUACACAAAUUCAGAAGUCUUUAUUUUGAAAAAAAUUCUUCCAACAGUAUUUCACAAUGAACAAGAACUUAACCAAAUUUAUCUAUCAUACUAAAGUAUUUCAGAAAUGAAUAUUGAAAACAGCCUGUAAGUUUUCAUCCAAUAUUUAAAACCACCUCCUGAACUAAAAUUGGUCUUCAAAAAUCAUGGCGUAUUAACAUUUUCCAAACCAUGAGGAAUCAGAAUCACAACUUUCAGAGUAAUAACUCACAUUUUUUCUAAAGCAUAGGAAGCUAAUUUUGUAUAAUGAACAAAUGUGGUUGUGCCAAAAUAGGUUUUGCCACAGUUAAUUUCCACUUUCUCUUCUUAAAAAUAAGGUAUAGUCUAAGCUAAUGUAGAUAAGGAAAGGCACGAUACCAACAAACUGCAAAACAAAGUAUAGCCCCAAGCCAUGCACUUUUUAGAGUCAUGAGUAGGGACAAUGAAAAAAUUAAGGUGCAAAAUAGAUGUGAACUUCCACAAUCUUUCAAUGGACUGUCUUAACAGUUUAAUUUAAAAGCAUAGGCUUUUUCAUAUAUCUUCAGAUAGUCAGAGAGAUUUUUUUUCUUCUUUAAAUGGAAGAAUUUCUUAAAUGGAAGCACAAGAUCAUACCUACACAGCUGGUGAGCCUCAAAAUAGAAUAAUGUCUACUUUAUUAAUAAAGUUUCCAGUCAGGCAGAAUCAAGAGUAAUCUUCAUAUAUGCAUAAGGAUAUUAUCAUUAUAACAAUAUUUUUAGUAGAAAAGUCUAUAAACAAAUGUUCUCCCAAAGGGACAUCCAUAUAAUGGAAUCCUGGAGACAUUAAUGUUAGAGCUGGAAGGUGGCAAUAUGGAAAGACAACCAAGUUAAACAAGAACCAAGUCACAAACUUGAACAUUUAAAAUAAGAACAGGAAGAGGCAUACAGAGAGAGAGCCAUAUAUAAAAUAAACGAUAACAUUUCUUAAAGACUACACAAGAAUACAAGAAAUUAUAUGCCUCUGGGGUAUGAGAAUAAAGUCACAGAGGGAGACACACUUUUUGACUUUAUGCCCUUUGUGUAUACUGCAUAAUUUUUAGAAAUCAUAAGCAUAUAUUAUAGCAUACAAAAAACCUUUAAAGUCUUUAAAAAACCUGAUUGUAACCAAAGCAUUCUAUGAAACAUUGACUAUGUAAGAUUAGUUUACAAUCCCUUGCUGCCUUUAGUUAAUGAUCAUAUAGUCAAAAUUAGAAGGCUCCUUGGCGUUUGCUUCCUCUGUCUCUCCACUCAAGAAUGAGGGAAGAUGCUGAGAAUUUAGAAUUCAAAUUUUACUCUCAUUGCUUAAAUUGUAACUUGGAUAACAUCUCAAGAUUUCAGAGAACCGAUUAAAAAAUUAAUCUAUGGGCAUUUUAAUCACCAUCUAAAAUAUUUUAUCUAGGAUCACUUAUCUUUUUUUAUAAAAGCUCAAAUCACAACAUUCUCUUUUCAUCAGUCCCUACAGCCCUGUGUUGGACAAGCACAGAUGUCAAAAAUACACUUAAAUAUACGUUGAAUUUUUAUCCACUAGAAUAAAAUAAGCAGAAUGAUAUGCAUUCUUGGCGAUAGUCUUCACUGGAAAAUACCACUGUCAGCCCAAACUUACACAACUGACUUCAAAAUCAGACUAAGAUGUGGCAUAAGAAGAGCUAUUUCCUACCUUCACUAUAUAUUCAGGAUUUGCCAACUCCAAGGCCUUGAAAAACAUGUGAAUGUUUGAGACUAAGAAAAAUUGGGAAUGGUAAGCUAGUGGCCACCUUAAGAGUACAUGCCCCAUUUCAAAAAGAUGGAUUCAGAAUGCAACGUUUUAAAACACUGUGCUGGUCACACAAAACAGAACUGCAGACAGAAUUCAGUGUAAGCCUUGAAUGUGCAACCCCUAUAAGAGCACAAUAAUUGGACUUUUUAAAACCAAGGUUCACGAUACUUGGGUCUUUGCAGAUUAAAUACCUCAGUGCCCAGUAUAUCUCUAAAAAUAAACAAGUGUUCAAAUGCUUGCUAAAUGAAUUAACAAUAUAAAAGCUCUCCAAAUACUGGAUAUAAUCAUCAAAUGACCAAUACAUUUAAUUAAUGAGUUGUGGAAUUGUAUGUCCUUUGCUGUGCUGAAGCUGGUUUGCCAAGGCUUGGGAAAGCCACUGGUUGGCUAUCUCUUUCAUCAAACUGCAUUUAAUGACAUCAGAUUGGCAGGUAAAAUCACCAUGAAGACAGUAUUUAUACCAUAAAUAUUAGUAAAUGCUACAAAACAGGGCCUUUUUUCUUUCAUGAAAGAUGGUUGUUAAACAUUCAGCAGCACAACACUGGAUUACAUCGUGGUUAUAUAUUCAUCUGUUCACAAACAACCACGUGAAAAGUUUAAUGUCACUAAGUUUUAAAACAUAAAAAGAAAAACUUAACUAAUGAGGAUGAAUACAACAGGUUAAAUACAAAUUUUAAUAUCACCUUUUAAAAAAUAAAUUUUAAAAGUGUAUAGGCCACAAACUGUAUCAAUAAAGGUGGAAUGCUUUACAAAAUAGGAGUCUGUGAUACUUCAGAUGAGUCUUCAAUCUAAAGCACGCUCCACUAGUUACCAUAUUAAUUUACUUCUAAAGUUAAAAAAAAAAACCAAGAAUAAACUGUACUGAUUUCAUCAAAUUAUGAAAGGAAUUCAAGUGAUUAAAGUUUUUUUAGAUAUACAAGACAAGAACGUUAACUUGUUCAGAAUUUCAAAAUAUUAAGAAAGAAUGCAUUCAUAUAUAAAUGUGAUAGCAUUUAAUCCAAAUCUGUUCCCCAGAGCAAAAAGCUGCCACUAGCUUAACCUCUCUAUGCUUUGCUUCUUUCAUCCUAAAAGUAUAGGUCCACUGCAGGGAUUGUAAGAGAUGAAAUAUGAAAAUUGUUUUACAAAUGACUAUCUCAUACACAGCCCAUAAUACCACUGCUAUUAUUACCUUGAAGUAGUGUUAAAAAGUCUGCAAUUUCAGUUCUCACUAGCAAACAAAAAAAACCCAGGGAAUAGUUAUGUUUGCCCUGCAAGUAAAUACUGUUCUAGAAAUACACAAAUUUAAAGUAUAGUGGUUCUCAAAGAGUCUGGAGACCCUUAAUGGUCCCUACAACCCUUUCUUUGAAAGGCUGUGAAAAGUCAAACUAUUUUCAUUGUACUACUGAGAUAUUACAUAGUUUUCAUUCUCCUGAUCUCACAAGUGCACAGUGGAGUUUUCCAGCGUGUGUAUGCUGUGUAAUUUUUAAGUUGGAAUGCAAAAGCAGCAUGAAAAUCUCACUGCUUUUAUUAAGCCAGAUUUAAAUGCAUAAAAUGUAAAACAAUGUUCCUGUUCUCAUUAGUUUUUGUUUUGGAAAAGUUAUUUUUAUCAAAAAUGGUAUUUAUGUUAGCAAGUUAUUAGUUUAUUACUGUUAUACUUAAAUAAAUAAACAUGUUUUAAAAAUAUCUCAGUAUUAAUUUUAAUACAAUAAAUUCUCAGAGAUACAAGCUACAUCAACAAAGCUGUUGGGGAGUGUUAAGGUUCUGAAACUAAAAUGCUCCAGAGAUGUUGGUACAGUGGUAAACCAGCAGCCAGGUCACCCUCUCCAUGUUGCCAAUUGACAGGAACUGUACUAAAGUGGGUGUGUGUGCAGGGGGGCGGGGAAUUUCACAGGUAAAGCACUAAUGUGCUUUUACAAAUUAACAGAAGGACUUAUUUUGAGGAAGAAAGUGAUUACCAAAACUCUAUUUUCACAAAAAUAAUAAAAUAUUCUCUAUUUCAAAAAAUGGGGAAAAAAUGUCUUUAAACUAUGUCAAAAGUUUGCCAUCCUGAAAAAAGAUCUUUCCUGAACAGGGAUAUCUGCAGAUACCUGAACAGGAAAAAUGAUGUGACUAAACCAGUAAGCCAGGAAAUUUGAAGGUCUUCAGCCUUGUUACCUUCCAGGAUUUUUUCUCCUUUUUAGUACUCAACAUAAUUUUGAUGGUCUAUAUAAAACUAGAAUAAAUCUAAAUGUAAAAGUCUAACGAAAGCUGAUUUUCUUUAAUAAUAAACAGUGAAUAUCAUGAGAAAAACCACUUUAAAGCUACCUCUCUUCUUUUUUUCAUUUUUUAGAGAUGGGAUCUCACUCUAUCCCCAGGCUGGUGUGCAGUGGUGUGAUCGUAGCGCACUGCAGCCUCCAACUCCUGGGCUCAAGUGAUGUUCCCACCUCACCUCCAGGUAGCUAGGACUCACAGGCUCUCACACCACCAUACCCAGCUUGGGUCUCUUCUUGAACUAAACAUUUUUAUUUUAUAAGCGCUAAUUUAAAGUCAGUAAGAGCCCCCAUUUAAUUACAAACUUCAAUAGUUACCCAGAAAAAGAAAUAGUCUUUAAAAUCAUUUUGAUAACAACUGUUUAAUUUACUAUUCAGAUGGAAAGCCUGGUAGGAUAUUUGGGUAAUGGUCUGUAAUUAGGUAGCAUAACUUUGUACACUGCUCAGAAAAGGGGCAGAGAUUUCCCAGUCAUCUUGCUUAUUAAAACGGUUUAG
rnacentral:lncRNA from 10 species